GUGCCAGCAGCCGCGGUAAUACGUAUGUCGCAAGCGUUAUCCGGAAUUAUUGGGCUUAAAGGGCAUCUAGGCGGUUUUUCAAGUCAGGGGUGAAAACUUAUGGCUCAACUAUAAGCUUGCCUUUGAAACUGAAAGACUAGAGUACUGGAAAGGUGGGUGGAACUACACGAGUAGAGGUGAAAUUCGUAGAUAUGUGUAGGAAUGCCGAUGAUGAAGAUAACUCACUGGACAGAAACUGACGCUGAAGUGC
rnacentral:rRNA from 1 species